rnacentral:rRNA from 1 species
UUGCAUAUCAAUAAGCGGAGGAAAAGAAACCAACCGGGAUUGCCUUAGUAACGGCGAGUGAAGCGGCAAAAGCUCAAAUUUGAAAUCUGGUACCUUCGGUGCCCGAGUUGUAAUUUGGAGAGGGCAACUUUGGGGCCGUUCCUUGUCUAUGUUCCUUGGAACAGGACGUCAUAGAGGGUGAGAAUCCCGUGUGGCGAGGAGUGCGGUUCUUUGUAAAGUGCCUUCGAAGAGUCGAGUUGUUUGGGAAUGCAGCUCUAAGUGGGUGGUAAAUUCCAUCUAAAGCUAAAUAUUGGCGAGAGACCGAUAGCGAACAAGUACAGUGAUGGAAAGAUGAAAAGAACUUUGAAAAGAGAGUGAAAAAGUACGUGAAAUUGUUGAAAGGGAAGGGCAUUUGAUCAGACAUGGUGUUUUGUGCCCUCUGCUCCUUGUGGGUAGGGGAAUCUCGCAUUUCACUGGGCCAGCAUCAGUUUUGGUGGCAGGAUAAAUCCAUAGGAAUGUAGCUUGCCUCGGUAAGUAUUAUAGCCUGUGGGAAUACUGCCAGCUGGGACUGAGGACUGCGACGUAAGUCAAGGAUGCUGGCAUAAUGGUUAUAUGCCGCCCGUCUUGAACCACGGA